rnacentral:rRNA from 1 species
CCUACGGGCGGCAGCAGUGGGGAAUAUUGCACAAUGGGGGAAACCCUGAUGCAGCGACGCCGCGUGAGUGAAGAAGUAUUUCGGUAUGUAAAGCUCUAUCAGCAGGGAAGAAAAUGACGGUACCUGACUAAGAAGCCCCGGCUAACUACGUGCCAGCAGCCGCGGUAAUACGUAGGGGGCAAGCGUUAUCCGGAUUUACUGGGUGGAAAGGGAGCGUAGGUGGCAUGGUAAGCCAGAAGUGAAAACCCAGGGCUCAACUCUGUGGAUUGCUUUUGGAACUAUCAAGCUAGAGUGCUGGAGGGGUAAGCGGAAUUCCUAGUGUAGCGGUGAAAUGCGUAGAUAUUAGGAGGAACACCGGUGGCGAAGGCGGCUUACUGGACAGAAACUGACACUGAGGCUCGAAAGCGUGGGGAGCAAACAGGAUUAGAUACCCUUGUAGUC